rnacentral:rRNA from 1 species
GCAAGCGGUGAUAGCACGUUCAAUGCACCAGUUCUCAAUGGAUCACUGAAGUUAAGCAACGUUACGCGUGGUUAGUAUACGUGUGGGUGACCAUCUGGGCAAUCACGUGCUGCUAGUU